rnacentral:tRNA from 1 species
UGGCCUAUCGUCUAACGGCUAAGACUACGGACUCUGACUCCGUCAAUCGAGGUUCGAAUCCUUGUAGGCCAG